CUCUGCCCCUGCGCGUUGGAGCACCUCGAGUAGGUGGUGGUGCUUAAUAUAGGGUCCUGCUGGGUUGUCCCCUCCCAAGCUGACCUCUGCCCCUAGCCGAGGCACAUUUAAAAUCUCCGGAGAAUCUAGCCCUCUUAUCCUGCUGCAUCUGCUCCCUACCCCUCAAACGGUAGCCCUCAAUCCUACGAGCAGUCUCCAGUACUAACUGAUAAAGAGUCCCUAUCUCCACCUCUCGGGCCAUGUUGGUCCUAAUGACAGAAUGCAAUCGUGCAAAAAACCUUUGCACCAAUAGGGAGUAUCAUCAAUGCAUGGGGGGUAACUUAGAAAACCUCGCCUUAAAAUCGAUCACGGACAUAUGACCUUGGUCAAACUGAUAUUGUAUCUCUUCCCUCUCAGAGGGUGGAAUAUACCUAUCCAGAAAUAACUGUGUGAACUGACUCCAAAUGAUAUGAGGAGAGCUUGCGGGUAUCCCAAGAACAUAAGACAUCCACCAUCUGCGGGCCCUGCCCUCUAGCUGAAAAGUAGUGAAGUCAAUCCCAUGUGACUCCAGUAUCCUCAUAAAAUGCAGUAUGUCCCUGCACCUAUCAAUGAAGUCCUAAGCAUCCUCAUAACUCUCACCCCCGAAUAUAGGAGGGUGAAGUCUAGUACAUC
rnacentral:lncRNA from 1 species